rnacentral:rRNA from 1 species
ACCAUCCUACGGGGGGCAGCAGUGGGGAAUAUUGCACAAUGGGGGAAACCCUGAUGCAGCGACGCCGCGUGAGUGAGGAAGUAUUUCGGUAUGUAAAGCUCUAUCAGCAGGGAAGAAAAUGACGGUACCUGACUAAGAAGCCCCGGCUAAAUACGUGCCAGCAGCCGCGGUAAUACGUAUGGGGCAAGCGUUAUCCGGAUUUACUGGGUGUAAAGGGAGCGUAGGCGGCCUGGCAAGCCUGAUGUGAAAUACCGGGGCCCAACCCC